rnacentral:rRNA from 1 species
UACGUAGGGUGCGAGCGUUGUCCGGAAUUAUUGGGCGUAAAGAGCUUGUAGGCGGUCUGUCGCGUCUGCUGUGAAGAUCCGGGGCUCAACCCCGGACUUGCAGUGGGUACGGGCAGACUAGAGUGAUGUAGGGGAGACUGGAAUUCCUGGUGUAGCGGUGAAAUGCGCAGAUAUCAGGAGGAACACCGAUGGCGAAGGCAGGUCUCUGGGCAUUAACUGACGCUGAGGAGCGAAAGCAUGGGGAGCGAACAGG